UUCGCUGUGCUGUCGUAACUUAUCCUGCUUAACAGAUUUUCUUGCUGUGCUUUAGGACGAGACGAAACUUGUACCUUAAGGCUUUGAAACACUUCUGAGAGGCUUCAAGCAACGUCUCUUGCUGUACAUGUCUGUAAACACUGAAGCCAUCGUGCAGAACAUGGAAGAGAGAGGAAGAGUGGUGGAAAUAAAGUAACAGCAAAGGAAGAAUUGAGCUGAAAGGUGCCAAAAGGAGUAAAAAGCACAUAAAAGAGAAAAAGAGGAAGGGAACAUCCUCUGCUCGUGUACACUGUGGCCAUUGGAAAAUACAUCUAUGAAGAUCACUCAGCAUCUCACUGCUUCGUGCCUCUCUCCCAUGUACUGAUAACACAGAGGAAUUCAGCUUGCUUCAUUAAAAGUGAAGGGAAGGAGCCUGGCAGAGGCACAGCCUGCACUCAGAAGUAAUGAACUCACUGUGACGGAGGACAGCUUGUUCUCUGCCCCUUAUUUAUUUACUCGCUCGUUUGCACGAUAACAGAUGGAUAUCAGCGUGUGCUGUGCAGAAGGUACAGCACUGCUAAACCGUCUGCAACCAGCUGCAAUGAAGAACUUCUCUCCUGAUAAGAGGUGAAGAGUAUGGCUUCAUUAGAUGAGCCAAGGAGGAAUGGGAAGAGGACAUGAUGCCUUGGAGAAACACAACAGGGCUAAACCCCGCGGAGGAAAAGGCAAUAUUUAACAUAGGACAGUGCUGCUAUGAGGACAGGCUGUGAGGACUCGUCAUAAGUUGAGACUGGAGAGCAGAAUAAAGUUUCUGAAUUCAGGAGAGAAAAAAGUAGA
rnacentral:lncRNA from 1 species